rnacentral:lncRNA from 1 species
CCUCUGUCAGCAGGCAUUGACCUUUGCCUAAAGUUCUCUCAUGUCAAAGCACUCACGGUCUUCUGAGUUAAUAGCUUGAGACAUUCCUAACUACUAGACGUUGUGGCAGAAACUUAUCUUUCUGAGAUUCCUGCUUAUGAGUUUUGGAUCUUUGGGGCCAUGCACAACUAUUAAGAUCUGAAGAGUUAUCAUGGCUUCCUGAAUCUUUAAUCAUUAGGCUAAGAGACGUGAUGAUGAGAGGAAAGUCAGAGUAAGGUGUUAUGAGAAGGACUCAAUAGACCAUUGCUGGCUUUGAAGAUGAAGGAAGGGGCUAUGGGCCGAGGAAUUCAGGUAGCCUUGCAAAUGACAGAAUUUCCUUCUUGUUUAAGGCUGAAGAGCAUUCCAUUAUGUACAUAUACAACAUUUUCUUUAUCCAUUCAUCAGUUGAUGGACACUUAAGUUGAUUGCAUAUCUUGGACACGGUGAAUCGUGCUGCAGUGAACAUGAGAGUGCAAAUA